GGCUUGGCUCCACGAACGUGGUAGCGGACGCACUAUCCCGUGCGCCUCUACCGAAAGGGGGAGAGGAAGGCACCGAGGUGCCUUCUCAACUUCUGGCAGCAGCACAAGUGGCACGGGACGGAUCUUUGUCCUGGGGCACGGUCGUGAGCAGAGAGCAGCUCCUAGACGCUCAGAGAGCGGACUGCCUUUGUCAGCGGGUGUCUCAAUGGUUAGCUGAGCAGGUUUCGGUGGACACCGGAACGACUGACGGACGGCACGACUCCUAUCUGCUGGGCGAGGAUGGCAUCCUGUUCAGGUACAUACCCCAGGCGGAUGACGACGACGGUACAUCCCCAUUCAGUGUCGUCGUGCCACGGAAGCUGCGUAAGCCUUUCAUACGUUACUUUCAUGACUCGGAUCUGGCAGGUCACAGCAGUGGCAGGAAAACUUAUGAAAAGUUAUGUCGUGUUGCGACAUGGCCAGGAAUGAGGCAGGACGUAACUAAGGAUGUUCGUACUUGUCCGAUAUGCCAGAAAGCAAAACCUCGUGGUGGUUUACCCCGUGGGCGCUUACAGCGUGUUCAGAGCAAUAGGCCCUGGCAGAUAGUUGCUUGUGAUGUGAUGGAUCCUUUUCCUCGUAGUCCUAGAGGUAACCAAUACUUGCUUGUGGUUACUGACCAUUUCACAAAGUGGGUUGAGCUGUUUCUUAUCAGGACGCUAACUUCCCAGAGAGUGUGGGAAGGACUACUCGACACCUUUUGCCGGUUCGGGUUUCCCGCUCGGCUGAUCACUGACAACGCAACCUACUUUACAAGCUAACAUUACCGAACGUGUUAAUCGGAACCUGAAGAUGAUGUUGGUUGCUUUUGCUAGUCAGCACCACCGUGAUUGGAAUCUUCACCUGACUGAGCUGGCUUCGCUACACCGACGAUGAUCAACAGAUCUACAGGCUUCACCCCGGCGUUCCUGAACUUGGGACGAAAGGCUCAUUUUCCAGUAGAGGAUGCCCUGUGCCUCCGGGAUGGCAGUACCCGGGGCUCCUUAUUCAAGGUAUGCUGAGGACCUCCAGAGCCAACUGGACGUUCCAGCGCGGACGGAUCGUUAGAACUUGGACGUCGAAAGGUUGGACCAGGCUCGCCAGUACAACCGUGGACGACGGAAUCUCACCUACAGCGUUGGUGACCUUGUCCUUCGACGGACUCACCCGCUUAGUGAUGCGUCACGUGGCUUUGCAGCUCGCUCGCAGAUAGGUGGGAUGGCCCCUUCGAGGUAAGUGCGUGCUCCUCCGGCCUCACUUACAGGCUUCGUCGCUGUGACACGGGCGAAUAAACGGGGUCAGUACAUAUCUCGGACCUGAAGACUUACCACCUCCGUGACCGCCAGGGCGAAGAGGCACAUCUUCAGCCUCCUCCAAGACCUGGACCAAGAUCCCGUUCUCGGACCUUCCUCGUCAGUCGCUACAGUUUGCGUCCCCGCAGGCGGCGCACGGAGCCGCCACUAUCCAACCGUAGUGCUCUUUCGUAGUUGGUUUUUCUUAGUGUGAUUUCUGUUUCGCGGUCUUCAGCUAUAAUGUUCUGGGGGAGAGCCUUUUAAGGUUCUCACGGUCGGAAAUUGCUUUCUCACCGUGUUCCCCUUUUCUUUCCCGCAGUUACCAUGCCUCCCCGUGGGAGGUACUGCAGCAGGAGGGCUCCCCCUCCGACACGAUCCUCGCCCGAAGUUGUUGGGCCCUCUCGCCGGUCCCGUUCUCCACUCAAGACCACUCCGGUGACGUCCACCAAGAGAUCAGUAGCCGCUUGGACUGUGGUCUCGCAAGGGAGACUGGUAGGCUGGGUAUCACGUUCGAAAUGGAGCUCCCAGCCCCGCCCUGUCUGUGGAGAAGAUACAUCAAGGGUCCAGCUCCCUUUCCGAGGACUAACUUUGGCAGAGAGACACCCCUGCGAUCCCCCUAUUCCACUGUCCGAAGACGAAGCUUGACAACUCUGUCGCCUGUGCGGUGUACCAGAACUACAUCGGCGUGCACACCGUCAGGGCCAGCUCCACCAGUCCAAACUUGAAGCCUCCCGAUUACCGCCCGUGCAACCACUGACGUCUCUGCUGCCCUCGCCACCCUACGACGUCACCGACCUGACCUUCUGAAAGAAACUGGAACCUCUCCCCUCAUGCGCCCGCAGGUGCCUAUCACUUUCUCCACACCAGGCUCCUCCGUUCUUCGAGCGCCGGCCGACGACCACAUGGACGAUACGGUUCUCGAUACGCCAGAUGAAAUUGUAAUGGUGUGAGCUGCUGGGGUAGGGGGAUGUGGCUCCUUCAUGACAUUUUGUCACGUUUAAAAUGCCGGAGUUGCAUUUGUUUGUUAACGUA